rnacentral:tRNA from 1 species
GCGGACGUGCCGGAGCGGCCAAACGGGCUGGAUUCAGAGUCCAGUAGCUUAGUGCUUCCCCAAGUUCGAAUCUUGGCGUCCGCA